CAGUCGCCGCGGUAAUACGUAGGUCCCGAGCGUUGUCCGGAUUUAUUGGGCGUAAAGCGAGCGCAGGCGGUUAGAUAAGUCUGAAGUUAAAGGCUGUGGCUUAACCAUAGUACGCUUUGGAAACUGUUUAACUUGAGUGCAAGAGGGGAGAGUGGAAUUCCAUGUGUAGCGGUGAAAUGCGUAGAUAUAUGGAGGAACACCGGUGGCGAAAGCGGCCCUCUGGCUUGUAACUGACGCUGAGGCUCGAAAGCGUGGGGAGCAAACAGGAUUAGAUACCCCAGUAGUCCCUGUCUCUUAUACA
rnacentral:rRNA from 1 species